GAUGAACGCUGGCGGCGUGCCUAAUACAUGCAAGUCGAGCGAACAGACGAGGAGCUUGCUCCUCUGACGUUAGCGGCGGACGGGUGAGUAACACGUGGAUAACCUACCUAUAAGACUGGGAUAACUUCGGGAAACCGGAGCUAAUACCGGAUAAUAUAUUGAACCGCAUGGUUCAAUAGUGAAAGACGGUUUUGCUGUCACUUAUAGAUGGAUCCGCGCCGCAUUAGCUAGUUGGUAAGGUAACGGCUUACCAAGGCAACGAUGCGUAGCCGACCUGAGAGGGUGAUCGGCCGCACGGGAACGGGAACACGGUCCAGACGCCUAAGGGAGGCAGCAGUAGGGAAUCUUCCGCAAUGGGCGAAAGCCUGACGGAGCAACGCCGCGUGAGUGAUGAAGGUCUUCGGAUCGUAAAACUCUGUUAUUAGGGAAGAACAAAUGUGUAAGUAACUAUGCACGUCUUGACGGUACCUAAUCAGAAAGCAACGGCUAACUACGUG
rnacentral:rRNA from 1 species